rnacentral:piRNA from 1 species
GUGGAAGCAGUAAAGGUGAGGGUCUGAC